rnacentral:rRNA from 1 species
GAUGAACGCCGGCGGUGUGCCUAAUACAUGCAAGUCGAGCGCACUGGCCCAACUGAUAUGACGUGCUUGCACUGAAUUGACGUUGGAUUACCAGUGAGCGGCGGACGGGUGAGUAACACGUGGGCAACCUGCCCUGGAGCGGGGGGUAACAUCUGGAAACAGGUGCUAAUACCGCAUAACAACGAAAACCACAUGGUUUUCGUUUCAAAGAUGGUUUCGGCUAUCACUUCAGGAUGGGCCCGCGGUGCAUUAGCUAGUUGGUAAGGUAACGGCUUACCAAGGCAAUGAUGCAUAGCCGAGUUGAGAGACUGAUCGGCCACAAUGGAACUGAGACACGGUCCAUACUCCUACGGGAGGCAGCAGUAGGGAAUCUUCCACAAUGGGCGCAAGCCUGAUGGAGCAACACCGCGUGAGUGAAG